GCAGCAGCCGCGGUAAUACAGAGGGUGCGAGCGUUAAUCGGAUUUACUGGGCGUAAAGCGUGCGUAGGCGGCUAAUUGAGUCGGAUGUGAAAUCCCCGAGCUUAACUUGGGAAUUGCAUUCGAUACUGGUUAGCUAGAGUGUGGGAGAGGAUGGUAGAAUUCCAGGUGUAGCGGUGAAAUGCGUAGAGAUCUGGAGGAAUACCGAUGGCGAAGGCAGCCAUCUGGCCUAACACUGACGCUGAGGUACGAAAGCAUGGGGAGCAAACAGGAUUAGAUACCCGAGUAGUCCCUGUCUCUUAUAC
rnacentral:rRNA from 1 species